CCUACGGGCGGCAGCAGUGAGGAAUAUUGGUCAAUGGCCGAGAGGCUGAACCAGCCAAGUCGCGUGAGGGAAGAAUGUCCUAUGGAUUGUAAACCUCUUUUGUCAGGGAGCAAAGUCACCCACGUGUGGGUGUUGGAGAGUACCUGCAGAAAAAGCAUCGGCUAACUCCGUGCCAGCAGCCGCGGUAAUACGGGGGGUGCAAGCGUUGUCCGGAAUCAUUGGGCGUAAAGAGUUCGUAGGCGGCACGUAAAGUCUGGUGUUAAAGGCAGAGGCUCAACUUCUGUACGGCACUGGAUACUUGCGAGCUAGAAGGCGGUAGAGGUAAAGGGAAUUCCUGGUGUAGCGGGGAAAUGCUUAGAUAUCAGGAGGAACAGCGGUGGCGUAAGCGCUUUACUGGGCCGUAAUUGACGCUGAGGAACGAAAGCCAGGGUAGCAAAUGGGAUUAGAUACCCGUGUAGUC
rnacentral:rRNA from 1 species